rnacentral:lncRNA from 1 species
ACCUCGAGGCAGCUCGUCCGCCUGUGAGGCAGGAUUUCCGAGGAGCCCACUAGGUGGUACGUGAGCUGCGGCGAUGGUGACCGGCUGCGCUGGACCAGUCACCGCCCGCCUCCCAGGACCCCCCUCAGGCCAGAGGCCCCCAGCUCACAAGCCGGCCCUGAAUCCUCCCUGUUCCUGGGCCCGUCUCCACGUUCUUCCUCUGGGAAAGCAGGGCCCAGGCUUCUGCUCCCUCUUCAAUACAGCACACGUGAACACUUUGGGAGUGUCGCCUUAAAAAUAAAAAACACAACGUGAGAGUUGAGAGUUAAGUUUUACUUGGGACAGAAUGAGGACUAGAACCUGGGUGGCAGCAUUCAGAGAGACCCGAGAAACUACUCCAAAAAACUGGGACCUCAGUGAGUCCGGACACCAGGCCAAGUGUGGAAAAGAAAGGAAGAAGGAAGAGAGGAGGCAUCCGUUGAUGAACCUCAGAUGCCAAGAUAAAGGAGACUUGCUUUUCGACGAGAUGACACUGGCCCUGCUGGUCGGGCUCCCGGGGAGAGGAGGUCUGAACUGCUCGGCUGCUGUCUACUGGCUGAUAAUGGGAUGAAAACAACACACAUCAAACAGUGAGCGGGGCUGUUAACAAGGUAGCCCUUCCUGGGAUCCUGGCGCCUUCAUCCAGUCAGGCCGGUGCCUUGAGCACCCACCCAAAAGUGGUGAGGGGAGUUCCUUGGGACCCUUCAAGUCCUAGCGUGUGGGUGAGAGCCCCCGGCUCCGGGAACGGCAAGCGGCAGGUAAGUCUUCCUGGAAGGCGCCGUCCCCCUCUCCGGGCUGGCUCUGCAGCCUUUCCCUCGGAGUCACACUGGCUCUGCAGCCUUUCCCUCGGAGUCGCAGUCUAGGAAGCAGGCUCCUCGCUAAGUAUUUGGCAUUUGAUCCUCAGAACGGUCAUCUUGCUGGAACUCGGCCUCUGUUCGCUGGUGCUCAAUAGAAACGCGGAGACGGAGCUUUGGAUGAAGUAGAGAAGGCAGGCCUGAUUGCUUUGCCAGGAAGGGGGGGCCACAGCGGGCCAGAGCCCUCGGAACUUUUGGGGGGGCGGUGAGGAGUCUCACAGUGUCAAGGAGCAGAGCGUGGCCAGCUCGUGGGCGUUCUUCUGAUGGGUGGGUGGUGAGGUCACGGGGAGUCCGCGCCGUCACCCCUCUGGUUCCAGUUGGUCUGGGGUCUCCGUGCUUGUGGGCAGCACACGGUUGGCUUCCUCCCCUUGGCGGGGGUGAACCGCUCCGAGGACAUGGCUCGGAAUAGUAUCUCUGGUCUUUGAGAAAGAAUGUAAGGUCCUUGACUUUGUUGAGUGGCUAAAGUAUUAUUAUUUUGUCUUGCUGGACUGUUUUUCCUUUCGCUUUGCAUUUUCUCACGUCUCUGAUUAAGUUUGAUUUUUUUGGACUAAAGUUUUUCUACAGACCAAAGGCAGGCAGAGGACCUGGGGGCGGGGGCGGGAUCUGUUCUGGGAAGGCCCCAUAGCGUCCGGCUCGGUUACCCUAAAGAGAGGUAUUUUUUCCCCAUUUGACAGUUGGGAGAAGGGAACCCCAACAGCAAAAAAGUCUCAGGAGGACUCAGGCCUCCUGAAACAGCAUGGCCCCUGCUGCCCCUGUGGCUUUUCUGAAGAUGCAGCCCAGUUGAGUCUGAUUUGCUGAUUAUUGCAGACCUCUGGGCAUGAAGCUCUGAAAUCGAGAAGCGGGUGUGGCUGGUGAUGAAGGUAAACCGCACAGUCAGCUCAGCUCAUGGAGAGUCCAGUGUCUGUUGUUGUUGCUGUCAUCCUCCGGGGAAGCCAGUUUUUAGUGCUCAAAGUUUAGUAAAACAAUUUCCUACACUCGUUUAAUCAUUUCCACUUUACAAACAAACUGAGGUUUCAGCAUACCAGGGGACUUGUCCUGGCUGAUUCUGCAGGUUACGGGGAGCCAGGACUUCUGACCCAAGUCUGGAGGGAUGCUUCUCUGGCUUGGAGGAUCAAUGAAAAAUCAAAUCUGACUUGUUCCACUGAGGUGAUGGAGUGUGCGAUUACUACAGCCUCUUAGAUAUUUAAAAUCGUAUGUUGCAAAAGACCAGUCCUACCCAUUUGCUGGGUGAGCGGGUGUUGGUACCACAAGCCAUCCUCAUACUUAAGCACAGUGGAUUGGAACGUACGGCAAAUAAACAGCGUUUUUUCCUGGCUCAGUGAGGGUAACGGCUGCUUUUGAAGAAUUAUUGCAGGUGUUUCUAGGCGAUGAAUAAAGUUACUGAGGUCGUGCAGGUGGAGCAUCUAGGCAUGGAAUUUAGAAAUUUCAAGAACUCGAAAAUUUUCCUUCCACCCCCUCCAGCUCACACAGUGAACGUGAUUAAGCGCUUCACGGGGUGGGACCCUGCGGAGGCCAGCGAGGUGGGCGACUCGGCUCCCCUCCCAGACCCCAUGUGGUCGGGAAACUGCACUGAAGGGCUCUGGCCGCACUGCAGAGGGUCUCACGGUGUCCAGCGGGCCAGCUCCCAGGGGACCUAACGGAAAGAAGAAUGGACGGAUGAAAAUCCGCAAGUCCUCAGGCCAUCCUCUCCCCACAGCCCGUCUGGAGGCACCCCAGAGGCCGACUGACUCUUUGCCUCUAAAUAUUUCAUCUGUGUGGCAACGGGACAGACUCAGGUGAGAAAACUGGAGUCAGUGUCACAGGGCCAACUUGGGCAGCCCUUUGGCGAGGCCACCUGCUUGAGCAGCCGGACGAUGGUAGUUAGGGAGGUCAGACGCCUCAUCUAAGCCCUGGCUUGGCCGCUUAUGGUCUGCCCUCCGUUGUGUUGCUUUAUCAACCUGGACCUCAGUUCGCUCAUCUUUAAAAUGGGGAUACAGGAGUCCCUGGUGGCUUAGUGGUGCAUGGCUUGACUUUUGUCACUGCUGUGGCUCUGGUUGCAUCCCUGGCUGUGGAGUUUCUGCAUGCCACAGGCCCAGCCACAUACAUUUAAAAAAUAAAUAAAAUUGGGAUAUGAACAGCCCGUAGCUCAAAGGAACUGAAAAUCAAAUAGCGAGCCAAGUGUGGCAGAAUUCCACUUUCCUUGUCCACAUGAUGCAUAGAUAAUAGUUGUCUUACUUUCUAUCAUAGGAUGAUGCUGAGGGGCCAGGAAAAAAAAAAAAAAA